UCCUCUCACAUCUGCUCCAAUUACUCCUAGUCCUCCAGCAUGUGCAUCAAUGAGAGAUGCUGCCACUGCAAUCCCUUCGGGGAGACCGAGUUCUUUUGCAGCUUCUGGCGUUAGACCUUUUCCAACAGACUCUCCAGGAGACAAGACGUGGUUUCCUAUUUUUUCAUAUUUAUCCUUCACCAAAUCUUCCAAGCCAAUUAUCUUCCAGAAACUAUCAUCCCAAC
rnacentral:lncRNA from 1 species